AGCGAACGCUGGCGGCAGGCUUAACACAUGCAAGUCGAGCGCUCGUAGCAAUACGAGAGCGGCAGACGGGAGAGUAACACGUGGGAACGUACCCUUCGGUUCGGAAUAACCCAGGGAAACUUGGGCUAAUACCGGAUACGUCCGUAAGGAGAAAGAUUUAUCGCCGAGGGAUCGGCCCGCGUCCGAUUAGCUAGUUGGUGAGGUAAUGGCUCACCAAGGCGACGAUCGGUAGCUGGUCUGAGAGGAUGAUCAGCCUCACUGGGACUGAGACACGGCCCAGACUCCUACGGGAGGCAGCAGUGGGGAAUAUUGGACAAUGGGCGCAAGCCUGAUCCAGCCAUGCCGCGUGGGUGAUGAAGGCCUUAGGGUUGUAAAGCCCUUUCGGCGGGGAAGAUAAUGACGGUACCCGCAGAAGAAGCCCCGGCUAACUUCGUGCCAGCAGCCGCGGUAAGAC
rnacentral:rRNA from 1 species